GGGACAACUAAUUCAGCCAGCCAGGACUGACCACACAGAAUUCCAAAUGUGUGCAAGGAGAGCAGCACUCAACAAAAGCUGGCUGUUGUCACAUGAACCUCGGUGUGUUCAGUCAUAAUAGCCUCAUUUUAGCCAGGAAGAAUUUUGUCUUUGACAAGAGAGAAACCACUCCCCUCUGGUUUUGUAAGGAAUACCCUUUUCACCAGAGGGAUCAGGGAGUUGUCCCACCAAGACCAAGGAUCUGGGGUAGAGGAUCAUAGAGAUAAAGCUACUUCUUCUCUGCUGUCUGCAGAGACCAGCAUGCAUGAUAGAUGAGCCUCAGUAAAAAUGCAUGAAAGCCAGGAACAUCUGCUUGGAUCAUGGAAAAAAUAUUCCAGUGUAUUGGAAAAAGCCAGGAGCUUGUUGCAGGCUCCCUCUUCCUGCUUGUGAUGAAGGCAAGGAGAAUUAGAAAUAGCAAAGGCAGAUGAGUGAGCAGCAGUCCUUCAGCUUGACCUCCCCUAUGACAAUGGAAGGAAACAGAGCGGCUGUGGGAGCCAGGAGCACAGGAGUCACCCAUCGCCUGGAAGGACACUUGGAACCUCCUCACCCACAAAGCGUGAGCAGAGUAGGAGUCACGUCAACACCACGCUCAGGGGAAAUGGCUACAGAGAGGACAGGGGGUGUUAGACCUCUCUGUCCAGUUUGGCAAAGAAGGAAAGAAGACAAAAAAGCCUAAGUGAGAGCAAAGGUGAAGCCUGCAUUGGAGCUCAGAGUAGCUGAGCCUCAGAGCUACUGUUGUCUCCACAAGGCAUUUCUUCUGGUGGAGAGCCUUUACUGAAGCAAAGCUGAACACCUCCUAAUGCAGAUCAGCCAGAACUGACCCUCCCAUAAAGCCAGUGGAAUUAUUAAUUGCCAGCAUCAGAUAUGUUCAGCCUACUUUCCUGAGUGGGAACUGAUCCAGAUCUCUGCAAAUGUAUUUGUUACUCAUUACGUACACAUCAGUAAGAUUUGUUAAGCAACUUUCAGCUUGGAAAAGAAGCAGAUUGUCUAAAUACUGAGAGAGGCAAAUCACCGAUGAUGACUGCAGGCAAAAGUGACUGACAAAAGCAGCCAAAUUGCUUCCACCAACGGAGUUUCAUAAGAAGGUUGUAGAGCCCUCAGAAGCCUGCCCAGAAAGUCAAUGCUGCCAGUCUCUCUCUGGAUUUGGUGCCUGGAUUUAAUGACAUUGGCUUGCCAGGAAAAGAAGGCAAUGAGAGUAAUUAAGGAAAAACAGAGAAGGGAAAAGCACAACAAGAAUUAGUACAAUGCUCAGGAAAAAAAUCCAAAUCCAGGGAGGAAAUGCUAGGUCCCUGGUAGUAGCAACCACACUCAGCAGCCAAGACCCAACAUAUCCGUCCCUGAGGCAAUUUCUUUUCUUUUUUUUGCAUCAUGAUGGAAUAGGGGCACUGGGAGGCUGGAAUGCCCAUCCCUUCUGGUGACAGUGCAGCAGGUGAAGCUGGGCCAGAUCAGAUUCACACUGUGGCUCUUCUUAGCAGAGCUCCAGUUCCACCACAGCUGCUGCCUGGCUGCUCCCGUCCCCAGAUCCCAAAGCAAGGUUAUGUCCCAGCUGUGUCCCUUGCUCCCCCAGCAGGGCCCAAAGGUCACAGCCAGGCUGUCACAACAACUACUGAAGCUGCCACAGGAACAGGGACCACAGCACAGGGAGAAGGCUACAGAAGCUCAGUCAUAUCCUCCAAAGGAUGAAGCUGUUCCCACCCCAGGCUGCCUUCAAUGCACAGCACAUUUAUAGGCACCUGGCUUCUCCUACCCAGAUGUUUGAUGAAAACUUGAUGAAAACGUCAUCAGGCUGUAAUGCCAGCUUUGGGAACAAAGUGUCCAGAAAACCUUGGCAGAGACUUCUAGCUGAUAACAGAGAAACCAGAGGGCAGAUGCUCACAGUGCAGGAUGUCCCUUGCUAAGGGAGGUAGUGCAGGUCCAGCCUAGCAGCCUGAACUUCCCCAGACAGAUGCCUGCAACAGAGCAUCCCUGUGGCCCCAGCAUGCCAUCCUUCCCCAGGCUGUGGUGAGACAUGAAGCAGAAGUGGGCGCUGGUCUGAAAUGAAGUGACAGUGCAGGACACACUGCCUCGCUCCGGGGUCUGUAACAAAUGCCACUCACGCCUCUGCUCAUCACCACCCCUCUUAAUGAGCAGGCUCUUUGUGACAGGUUUUAUUGUGAGAGUCACAGAGCUGCCUUGGGUUUAAAGAUUCACCAGUUCUUUCUCAUUCCCCAUGCCACAUAAACAGCAUGUUUCUAUUCUGACUUGAACUAUUACAGCAACUAGAGAUGUUUGUGAUUUCUCUGAAACUAAAAUAAAAGCAACCUUUAUAUUGGACAAAAUUAUGAAGGACUUCUUUUUAACAGUCCUUUUUAUUGAAAAAACUCCACUUAAAUUUCAAUGAGAGCAUUGCUUGCCAGUAAGAAUGGAGGCAGAAUUGAAAAAAGUUUUGGAGUUGAGUCCAACUCCUGUAUUUACAGGGUAUAAGUACAACCGAGGCACUUGUCAUAGCAUGGGUGGAAGCACUCAUAUCCCAGAGCAAGAGCCGAGAGGGGAGGAUGUCACUUCUGGUUGCUCAGAUCCAAGACCUCCUGUCCCCAUCCACACCCUGCACCACAGCACUAAGGACAUGUAAACCCCUCCUCAAAUCCUGUUCUUCAUCCCACACAAAAAACUCACAUCUUUAGCUCUGAAGGUCCAAGCCCUGGCAGUAGCAGUGGCCACUGCAUGUGCAGAUGUGCUGCCUGUGUGUGCAUGUGUGCUGUGGCAUAUGUGUCAGCAAGUUAUUCCUGCCAUCCCUGUGGCUGAAGCACACUAAGCAGGCAUGUGGCAAAAGCAACACCAUGCUAAGAAACCCCGUAACAGAACGUGAGGUCUCUGGGUUCUGGGUGUGUAUCCCUGGGUGUGCACACGUGUUCCUGCUCCUGCUCAAGCCACUUGCAGUUAACCUCCCAAGGUCUCUUCCACCUGCAUGUUACUGCACCUCAGGACAGCUGAAAGGGGUUGCAAGAGAAGUUCCUGAAGAGGAAACGCGUAGGCCCUUGUUUGAGGGUAGAAAAAAGAGAUGUUUUUAUAAGUGCUAACCUGCUCACCUUGGCAACCCGCCACUAGAAGAAG